GACGAACGCUGGCGGCGUGCUUAACACAUGCAAGUCGAACGGAAAGGCCCUGCUUUUGUGGGGUGCUCGAGUGGCGAACGGGUGAGUAACACGUGAGUAACCUGCCCUUGACUUUGGGAUAACUUCAGGAAACUGGGGCUAAUACCGGAUAGGAGCUCCUGCUGCAUGGUGGGGGUUGGAAAGUUUCGGCGGUUGGGGAUGGACUCGCGGCUUAUCAGCUUGUUGGUGGGGUAGUGGCUUACCAAGGCUUUGACGGGUAGCCGGCCUGAGAGGGUGACCGGCCACAUUGGGACUGAGAUACGGCCCAGACUCCUACGGGAGGCAGCAGUGGGGAAUAUUGCACAAGGGGCGGAAGCCUGAUGCAGCAACGCCGCGUGCGGGAUGACGGCCUUCGGGUGGUAAACCGCUUUCGCCUGUGACGAAGCGUGAGUGACGGUAAUGGGUAAAGAAGCACCGGCUAACUACGUG
rnacentral:rRNA from 1 species